rnacentral:rRNA from 1 species
AAGGCCCUUCGGGGUACUCGAGCGGCGAACGGGUGAGUAACACGUGAGCAACCUGCCCCAGGCUCUGGGAUAACCCUCGGAAACGGGGGCUAAUACCGGAUAGGACCUUUCACCGCAUGGUGGGGGGUGGAAAGUUUUUUCGGCCUGGGAUGGGCUUGCGGCCUAUCAGCUUGUUGGUGGGGUGACGGCCUACCAAGGCGACGACGGGUAGCCGGCCUGAGAGGGCGACCGGCCACACUGGGACUGAGACACGGCCCAGACUCCUACGGGAGGCAGCAGUGGGGAAUAUUGCACAAUGGGCGAAAGCCUGAUGCAGCGACGCCGCGUGAGGGAUGACGGCCUUCGGGUUGUAAACCUCUUUCAGCUCCGACGAAGCGCAAGUGACGGUAGGAGCAGAAGAAGCGCCGGCCAACUACGUGCCAGCAGCCGCGGUAAGACGUAGGGCGCGAGCGUUGUCCGGAUUUAUUGGGCGUAAAGAGCUCGUAGGCGGCUUGUCGCGU